rnacentral:lncRNA from 1 species
CUCGUGGCCGCGCUCCGACGGUGUCUCGCCUGCGCUUGGGGCUCAGGUGUCUGUGCUGCCGCGUCGGUCCCUUGGGACCAGCCGUGGCCGCCGGAGGAGUGGGGGCGACGCUGGCGGACCCAGAACCCGGGAAACGCCGGAUUUGGCCUGUUCAUAAAUCUGGAAGGAAUGAACGGCACCUCACAGUGGAUCACUGCAACCUGGAGGCUGCGGUCGCGCCAAACACAGCCCUAGACCCAGUCCCCAACAGUAUGGAAAGCACUGACUCCGUCCAGUCAGCAGCUGGUAAACAUUCUGCUCGCACAGACUCAGCUGAGUCUGUUCUGUUCAGAGCCUGUGUCCACAGCCUCUUAGCUGCACUGGGCCUUCCCCUUUGAGGGGACAUGAUGCCCCUUUACUGGGUUGUCCUCAUGGAUCUUCCACAGCUGUGCCCUCUCACAGCCACUGCAGGCGGGGUCUGAACUGCACCCACCUUGCCCCAGGAGCACAGUGUAACAUGACCCUAACGACAUCCUCCUCCAAGGACGUUCGGUUGACCUUCAUUCAGGACAAACAAAUAUUGAAGAGAGGAGCUCACGAAAAGCAGAUGGGCCAUUCCCCACACAUAAUGUGAGGCCUUGACACCUUGGUUGAAUUCCUAAAAACUAUUUGGUUUUCCUUGAGCCCGUUUAUGCUGUUAUGUGCAAAUUUGCCACCCUGAGUGGGCACCCCUACCACAGAAGGCUGGAGACUCUCUUCAAAUUGUCCUACAGCCAACACUCCUGUUAGUGUCCUUGGAGAUUCCUUCCCUACGGAGGCCUCAGUGACCUUCUGUCAUGUCUUCUGGGGUACCCUUGAUGGCCUUAAGUUGCCUGUAGGCUUCUGAUGCAAGAACCUGCCCCAGCCCCCCACUGUGUGCCAUUGGAGCUGCAGUCACCACCACAUACUGGUCUCUCCUGAUGAUAGAGGCUCUCCGAGGCCCUGAGCAUGGGACCCAUGGGACCCUCCACUCAGCUGCCCGUUAUGCUUUGGGCUCUGGAAACAGCACCCCAUGAGCUCAGCACGGCUCCUAAGACCUCCUUGAGACACGAUGGAGCCAAACCUGGGCUCUCUGGGAUAUCCUACCUGCAGGAGCGGGUGCCCUUCCAUCCUGUCAGUUCCUUGCCACGUGCCAUUGUUCUGGAAGAGGUCACCCCUCUCCCAGACCCCUUGGCUCCCAGGGAAGUGUCUUGGUUUAACGCAGUGAACUGCAACAUGAGUUUGCAACAUUUGUACAAGAUGGAGCCCAGUGGAGAGUUACUGCUUUUCAUCUCUUAAUUGAGACAACCUUCAUAAAGAAGGGGACCCCAACAUAACUGAAACAUCCCAAACUAACCACACAUCAGGCGGUUAUAUUAUUUUAAAAGUUCUUUAAGAAGUUUAUCCCCUCCUCACCAGCAGAUUGGCUCACCCACAUCCAGGGAGAGAAAGGCGUGCGGGUCCCGUGAUGUUGAGGGUAGGGUCCGUCGGAAGCGGGUGGAGCCUAGCUCAGAUACCCAUCUGACAAGAUCAGAGCAGCAGGAGAAUGGACACUGCAGUACAGAGAGAUGGAAGGACCUCAAAUUUGAUUGACGAUGCUUGGCAAGAAGACAAGCUGCCAUCUCGAGGGUGUUGCAAUACCACUGAGCAGGACAAGAGGUGGCACCACAGAAUCUGUUAGAGAAUGAGAAAUGAAGUGGACAGGUAGCCUUAUGGUACCUCCGUGGGAACAUUUCCCCCAUGGGUAACUGAUGUCUGGCUCCUCUCCCCUGGACGGUUUCAGAAAACACAUAGAUACAAAAUGCUUUCUUUCAGCCUCCUAAUUCAGAUCUUUUAGUAAUAGACCAGCACUCCGAAUGCACACCCGCUUAGUUUGCGGAAGCAAAGCGCAAUGUGGAAAUACCAGAAUGAGAAACUGGUUGAGAUUUCUCGGGAAUGCAGACUGUUUGACUCUCUGAACCUCUGGUUCUUCAUUCACUAGGUCGUGUUUGAACAUGAUUGGUUAAACAUUUGCCUUUCACUCUGAUUUUGCUUUGCUGUCACUGUUUAACACAUUCCAGCUGGUUAUCUGUGUCCUGGGACACGGGCGACUGAAGUUAUGUGAGGAAAGGGCAAAGGAGACGAAGCAAGACAUAAGGAGAAUUAUUAACUUCUCAUGCACGCCUGCUCUGAGCAGCAUCCUGAGCGGAUGUGUGUCAAGCCUGUGGGCGUGAUGGAUAGAGAGAGAGCCUUCACUGAUCACUGAGAUUCAAGAUCCCCCAUGGCGUUCUCAGACUUUGGUCACAUUUCGAUUUAAAAGGUUACGUGACAGUUACCUCUGCUCUCCCUACAGCUUCUUUUGAUGCCCCUGGAAAGGAUCUUUGGCUAGAGGGACUGCUAGUUUUAUCCGGUAAUGGAAUUGCUUAAUUGCUCAGAGCCCUUCCAGAUGUCACUGGGACACCGUGAAGUCAGCAUUUAGUUACACAUUUGUAUAAGAACUUGAUUUUGCAGAACCCGUUUGUGGACAUUUAUCUCCUGGAAGUAUUUGCCUCUCUAAGUGGUGUCUGUCUGCUUCUCUACCCGAAUUGUGAACUCUGUGCGAAGAGGCCCUGGCUUAUACUUCUGUUUCCCUCCUGAAAAACAGAAAACACUAGAUGAUUGAAAAAUAAAAAGAAAUUUUAAAAAACAGUAGGAAAAAUGAUGAAUUAAUUAAACUACAAGUUCC